GCAUUCAAGUUUUAACUAUAAAAGGAUCAAAAUAAAUCUCUUUAGUACAUUCAAAGGAUGAAAAAUAUGGCACAGUUUCUUCUGUUUAUUUAUUCCUUGAUUAUCUUUCUUUCUCUAUUUUUUGGAGAAGCAGCGUACGAGAGGACUGAACCCAUAAUGCACAAUGGAGAACCAAUCAAUUUAAUUCCUUGCGUUACUGUCGCUGAUUGUCCAAGGAUGGAUGAACCUCUUCAUAUGACGUGUCUUGUAGGUGCUUGUUGGCCAUGUAUUCGUAGUCUGUAUUAAUUGCACAAUUGAAACUAGGGGACAUCACAAUAUUUCAACUUUUAUUGUUUAUUUAAAAAUAUAAAUAAUGUUUAUCUAGCUGUCAAAUUUUAUUUUAUGUGUAUAAGCUGCACUCUUUUUUCCUUCAUCAAGUUUUAUUCCAUUGAGAAUUUCUCUUAAGGUUUGUAACGAGGCGGUUUUCUAUAGUAUUUGUUUCCUUGGAUUUGGCAUAGUCCCCCAAUUUUUAUUUUAAAUAAAAUGUUUCUUUGAGGUCUUAUAAAUGAUUGUAAUGAGUUAAGAUCCCAACUUAGCUAAGAUUUCCUCAUGUCUUAUGAUGCCUAUGUACGAUCAUGAUAUAAAGAAAAAUGUUAAAUGCAUUUUUCUAUAACAAUUUCUGUACUUUUAUCUAUUAUUCACCAAACUUUUAUCUAAUAAUUUCUGCUAGGGUUUAGCCGAAACACCGUUUCACUAAACUUUCAAAGAAACAUCAUGAAUCAUCGAUUCUUGAUUUAUCGAUUCAUGCUAUUCAAUACACAACUGAUUGUAUGCCUUAUUUUGUCCUACGUGCUUCAUUCAUCUCCCUAAUUAAGUCGUUAACGUGUUGUAAUCUUCUUGAUUUUGGUGAGAGAAAGAACUUUCUAUCAUUACGUGAGUGAGGGUAAAUUCAUAAUUUUAGAACGAAUUGUAUUAUAGUAAUUUUGGUGUGGAGAGUUAUUUUAAUAGAAUUGAUAGUAACUUGAGGUAAUUGUUAAGGGAAAAAGUUAUGGUGCAUAACGAAAUCUUUAUACACCGUGCAUAAACACUUCACAACCAUCAGAUCUAGUGUACACAUGUAAUAAUCCUAGGUUUCUCAGCUCACACUCUCACAAUCUGAUCGCACACACUCGCAUACGACUCAACCUUGCUCGCCACUUCGAUGUGCUGACCCUUGCUCGCUGCUCCGACGUGGUUUAUCCGGCUAGGUUACGACGACGUGAUUGCGACGUGGUUUAUCUGGCUAGGUCAUCGGCGAGGUUGCACGGAUUUCACCCUUGCUCGCGCUACGACGUGAUUUCUCCAGCGGCAUUCGUACUGCAAUUUGAAGAGUGUUUGUUGCUGUUU